rnacentral:rRNA from 1 species
ACUCCUACGGGAGGCAGCAGUGGGGAAUAUUGGACAAUGGGCGAAAGCCUGAUCCAGCCAUGCCGCGUGUGUGAAGAAGGUCUUCGGAUUGUAAAGCACUUUAAGUUGGGAGGAAGGGCAGUAAAUUAAUACUUUGCUGUUUUGACGUUACCNACAGAA